UAAGUUUUUUUUUUUGAAUGUUAUACUGAGUGUAUGCACACAAUUACCUGAGAAAUGGAAUAUAAAUUGCAUCGGUUGGACAAGGUGUGUAUCACUACGAUUUUGAUUUUUAAUGAUGGGAUGUUAGUAUUGUUUAGGUGAUAUGAUAUGAAAUGAAAAAUGCAGUAUAUAUAUUUUGAUCUUCUUGAAGUUGCAUAGUUCGGCUUAGUGAGUUCUAAUUCACAGCUGGAAAUAUCAUCCUGGAAUCCUUUCCUGAAUUGCAAAGUUCAUCUAGGAUACAAGCCUAGAAGGGUGCUUUGUGAUUAUUGUCUGAUGGGCCGGCCACAUCCGAAUGUUCAGAUCACGAGGUUUGCUUUAUUGUUUUUUGGAAAUCAAAGGGCUUUUUGAGCAGAGGAAAGAACAAAAAGAAACCCCAGGGAUCAGCAUACCAUGUGCAUGCCUAUAAAAUAAACCUACUAUAUAUAUAUAUAUGAUACAUAUCAUAUGCCUCCUAUACUAUAAGAUGGAGAAUUUGAGUAUCGAAUGACACGUGGCAGAAAACGGAAUAGUAUUAUACCAUAUAUAUAUAUAAUAUAGACAGGGUUGGGUGGAGGAGAAUUUUAUAGAGGUAAGGGUGGUAUUACCAUGAGGGUGGUGGUGGUUAUUAAGGUUGUUGUUUGUCUCUUGUCUUUGCUUGGUGAUCGACAACAACACAAGUCUCUUGCUGACGGACAAGUACACUACAAAGGGGUGAUGAUGGGAACACAGGAUCAGAAUCGUAAAAUGGGAAGAAGAGUACUACUGGGUAAGCAAGAGACAGCGAGCUGGUGGCUGUCAGAGGAUUACUCUAUGCCUCGGAGGCGGAGGCAUGUUCACAAUGAUUUACAACCAUGACUACUCUCUCUCUCUCUCUCUCUCUCUCUCUCUCUCUCUCUCUCUCGUCAUUGUAAGCAUGGAUGCCGGAUGGUUGUAGCAAACUGGUUGAUAUUUUAUGCAUCUAUUGUAAGGUUUCGUUUAAUAUUACUAUGUAAAACGUUCACCAAAU